rnacentral:pre_miRNA from 8 species
GUAUAUAUACACAUAUACAUGUAUAUGUGUAAAUAUACGUAUAUAUACACAUAUACAUGUAUAUGUGUAUAUAUACA